rnacentral:rRNA from 1 species
UCUCUCCGAAAUAGCUUUAGGGCUAGCGUCGACAUGAGAAUCAUGGAGGUAGAGCACUGUUUGGGUGAGGGGUCCAUCCCGGAUUACCAAUCUCAGAUAAACUCCGAAUGCCAUUGAUUUAUGGUCGGCAGUCAGACUGCGAGUGCUAAGAUCCGUAGUCGAAAGGGAAACAGCCCAGACCACCAGCUAAGGUCCCUAAAUAAUUGUUAAGUGGAAAAGGAUGUGGGGUUGCACAGACAACUAGGAUGUUAGCUUAGAAGCAGCUAUUCAUUCAAAGAGUGCGUAAUAGCUCACUAGUCGAGUGACCCUGCGCCGAAAAUGUACCGGGGCUAAAACAAUUUACCGAAGCUGUGGAUAACACUUAGGUGUUAUGGUAGGAGAGCGUUCUAUGUGUGGCGAAGGCAUACCGUGAGGAGUGCUGGAACGCAUAGAAGUGAGAAUGCCGGUAUGAGUAGCGAAAGACAGGUGAGAAUCCUGUCCACCGUAAGACUAAGGUUUCCAGGGGAAGGCUCGUCCGCCCUGGGUUAGUCGGGACCUAAGGAGAGACCGAAGGGUGUAUCCGAUGGCCAACAGGUUGAUAUUCCUGUACUAGUGUAUAUAGUGAAGGAGGGACGCAGAAGGCUAACUAAACCGGACGAAUGGAAGAGUCCGGCCAAGCAGUGAGGUGUGGACUGAGUCAAAUGCUUAGUCCUGAUACAUUGAGCUGUGAUGGGGAGCGAAGUUUAGUAGCGAAGUUAGUGAUGUCACGCUGCCAAGAAAAGCUUCUAGCGUUUAAGUAUACACUACCCGUACCGCAAACCGACACAGGUAGUCGAGGCGAGUAGCCUCAGGUGAUCGAGCGAACUCUCGUUAAGGAACUCGGCAAAAUGACCCCGUAACUUCGGGAGAAGGGGUGCUCAGUAUAACUGAGCCGCAGUGAAAAGGCCCAAGCAACUGUUUAUCAAAAACACAGCUCUCUGCUAAAUCGUAAGAUGAUGUAUAGGGGGUGACGCCUGCCCGGUGCUGGAAGGUUAAGAGGAGUGCUUAGCGUAAGCGAAGGUGUGAAUUGAAGCCCCAGUAAACGGCGGCCGUAACUAUAACGGUCCUAAGGUAGCGAAAUUCCUUGUCGGGUAAGUUCCGACCCGCACGAAAGGCGUAAUGAUUUGGGCACUGUCUCAACGAGAGACUCGGUGAAAUUUUAGUACCUGUGAAGAUGCAGGUUACCCGCGACAGGACGGAAAGACCCCAUGGAGCUUUACUGCAGUUUGAUAUUGAGUAUCUGUGCCACAUGUACAGGAUAGGUAGGAGCCAUAGAAGAUGGGACGCUAGUUUCAUUGGAGGCGUUGUUGGGAUACUACCCUUGUGUUAUGGCUACUCUAACCCGAAUAGGUGAUCCCUAUUGGAGACAGUGUCUGACGGGCAGUUUGACUGGGGCGGUCGCCUCCUAAAAGGUAACGGAGGCGCCCAAAGGUUCCCUCAGAUUGGUUGGAAAUCAAUCGCAGAGUGUAAAGGUAUAAGGGAGCUUGACUGCGAGACCUACAAGUCGAGCAGGGACGAAAGUCGGGCUUAGUGAUCCGGUGGUUCCGCAUGGAAGGGCCAUCGCUCAACGGAUAAAAGCUACCCUGGGGAUAACAGGCUUAUCUCCCCCAAGAGUUCACAUCGACGGGGAGGUUUGGCACCUCGAUGUCGGCUCGUCGCAUCCUGGGGCUGUAGUCGGUCCCAAGGGUUGGGCUGUUCGCCCAUUAAAGCGGCACGCGAGCUGGGUUCAGAACGUCGUGAGACAGUUCGGUCCCUAUCCGUCGCGGGCGUAGGAAAUUUGAGAGGAUCUGCUCCUAGUACGAGAGGACCAGAGUGGACUUACCGCUGGUGUACCAGUUGUUCUGCCAAGAGCAUCGCUGGGUAGCUAUGUAGGGACGGGAUAAACGCUGAAAGCAUCUAAGUGUGAAACCCACCUCAAGAUGAGAUUUCCCAUAACGUUAUGUUAGUAAGAGCCCUGAGAGAAGAUCAGGUUGAUAGGUUAGGAGUGGAAGCGUUGUGAGACGUGUAGCGGACUAAUACUAAUCGCUCGAGGACUUAUCCU